rnacentral:lncRNA from 1 species
CAGGACAUUGAUUCAGUCAAGCAGAUAGGCUUAUGGGUUCACUGUAGCAACCUACUUAGAGCUUGACUGAACUUUAAAGCCCUUAUGUCCUGGUACCUUCAAUGAAAGGUGCCGCGCAGGAAAACAUGAAUGAAAAAGUAACUCAAGAAGGAGGCAAAAUAGAUAUAAAUGACAUAGAAUUGGAAGUGAAAGCAGAUAUAAAUAGUUCUAAAGGAAGGUCAGCCCACUGGAAUCAGAUAGUCCUUCAGGGGCCAGCUUGCCUGCCAAUGGACCAGACCCAGCAGCUGCAACUGGACCCUUUUGUCCCUGGUCUCCUCCUGACGUGGACAAUUGGCCAGAGUGCCCCAACCGAUGGUGGAAAUACUAAAGAACUUUCUCUCGGUUCACUUUCCACAGCUUUCUCAGUUUUAUGAUGAAGUCUCAUGUCCUACCUCCUGCUUCAAUCCUGCCUGGAACCCCUAAACAUUGGCAAGUCUACUCUUUGUCCAUCAUGGACAUCAUCAAGGCUCUGUGACCCAGGAUCAACUGGAGCAGAUGAGUCUCCCCUUGAUUCUCCUCUCCUCUUAU